rnacentral:sRNA from 1 species
GAGGAGCCGGACUCAGCAUCGGUGCGUGGCUGGGGCUGGGGAGGACUCAGCCCCCAGGGUUCAGGCCCAGGGAACCCCACAUCAUCUCUGCGGCCCUUCUGGGCUUUUCUGAUUGCGCCUAGGUCAAGACCUACCCACGCAGCAUCGCGUCCUCCGUGCGCCGUAAGGAUGAGCGCAGAAAGGAGAAGAGGGAAGAGACUCGGGAGCGAAAGAAGAGGGAGAAAGCCAAGAAGCAGGAGGAGCUCAAGCAGCUGAAGAACCUGAAGAGGAAGGAGAUUCUGGCCAAGCUGGAGAAGCUGCGGAAAGUAACAGGCAACGAGACGCUGGGCCUCGAGGAGGGGGACCUUGAAGAUGACUUCGACCCUGCCCAGCACGACCAGCUCAUGCAGAAGUGCUUUGGGGACGAGUACUACGGGGCCGUGGAGGAGGAGAAGCCACAAUUUGAGGAAGAAGAAGGGCUUGAAGACGACUGGAACUGGGACACGUGGGACGGGCCUGAGCAGGAGGGAGACUGGAGCCAGCAGGAGCUGCACUGUGAGGACCCCAACUUCAACGUAGGUAUCACGGGUUGAGGGAGUCCCAGGGGCCCUGACGGGGGGCUGGUGGGAUCUGACCUGUGCGUCCUGGCAGAUGGACGCCGACUACGACCCCAGCCAGCCGAGGAAGAAAAAGCGCGAGGCCCCCUUGACAGGCAAGAAGAAGCGCAAGUCGCCCUUCGCCGCGGCCGUGGGGCAGGAGAAGCCCGUGUUCGAACCCGGGGAUAAGACGUUCGAGGAGUACCUGGAUGAGUAUUACCGGCUGGACUACGAGGACAUCAUCGACGACCUGCCCUGUCGCUUCAAGUACCGCACAGUGGUGCCCUGUGACUUUGGCCUCAGCACU